rnacentral:rRNA from 1 species
UACGUAGGGGGCCAGCGUUGUUCGGCAUUACUGGGCGUAAAGGGUUCGUAGGUGGUGCGGUAAGUUGGAAGUGAAAUCUCUGGGCUUAACCCAGAGGCUGCUUUCAAAACUGUCGCGCUCGAGUGCGAGAGAGGUCAGUGGAAUUGCAGGUGUAGCGGUGAAAUGCGUAGAGAUCUGGAGGAACAACCGUGGCGAAGGCGGCUGACUGGAUCGCAACUGACACUGAGGAACGAAAGCUAGGGGAGCAAACAGG